UACGUAGGGUGCAAGCGUUAAUCGGAAUUACUGGGCGUAAAGCGUGCGCAGGCGGGUGAUGUAAGAACAGAUGUGAAAUCCCCGGGCUCAACCUGGGAACUGCAUUUGUGACUGCAUCGCUGGAGUACGGCAGAGGGGGAUGGAAUUCCGCGUGUAGCAGUGAAAUGCGUAGAUAUGCGGAGGAACACCGAUGGCGAAGGCAAUCCCCUGGGCCUGUACUGACGCUCAUGCACGAAAGCGUGGGGAGC
rnacentral:rRNA from 1 species